ACUCANAUCUCUGUCCAUACUCCUACGGGAGGCAGCAGUAGGGAAUCUUCCACAAUGGACGAAAGUCUGAUGGAGCAACGCCGCGUGAGCGAUGAAGGCCUUCGGGUCGUAAAGCUCUGUUGUUAGGGAAGAACAAGUGNCGAGGAGUAACUGCUCGCACCUUGACGGUACCUAACNA
rnacentral:rRNA from 1 species